AAGGCACUCUGGGAAUGAGGUUCAGGA
rnacentral:piRNA from 1 species